rnacentral:rRNA from 1 species
AUGAAAACAUGCUUAUGCCCGUGCAAUGAAUAUAUGGUGUGUGUGGGCAUUAAGGAGGUAUUUGAGCAAUAUGUUCACAAUGUUGGCCUCGGUCCCUACCUUUCAGAUAAGUGUGAACAAUGCCAACUUCUAACUGAGUCAUUUGUCAAAGAAUUUACACUUUUCCCUCGUGAGUCUAGGGUGUCUUUUAAGCUUUAUGAUAAUCCAUUUACCAUCGCACUGGAUAAUUUUGCUUACCAUUGCAAAUUACCAUAUUGUGGUUCGCUUGAUGAACCACCGAAGGCUGAGUACGAGUCUUUCUUGAGUAGCCUUUGUUACGGAGAAAAUAGGGGAGUAACACAAGGAAGAAUAAAGAGCAUUCACUUUCCCGCAAUCCAGUAUUUUGCAUUAUUUAACGGGAAAUGCAUAGUAGGCAAGCAAGACUGUAGCAUACUUUGUGCGCCAGACUUGAGCCUCAUUCACACCGCUCUCACUGGUGAAUGA